GAUGAACGCUAGCUACAGGCUUAACACAUGCAAGUCGCGGGGCAGCAUGGGGGUUGCUUGCAAUCCCCGAUGGCGACCGGCGCACGGGUGAGUAACGCGUAUCCAACCUGCCCUUCACCACGGGAUAACCCGGCGAAAGUCGGACUAAUACCGUAUGUUGUCCAUUGACGGCAUCCGAUUUGGACGAAAGGCUUGGCGGUGAGGGAUGGGGAUGCGUCCGAUUAGCCAGACGGCGGGGUAACGGCCCACCGUGGCUACGAUCGGUAGAGGUUCUGAGAGGAAGGUCCCCCACACUGGAACUGAGACACGGUCCAGACUCCUACGGGAGGCAGCAGUGAGGAAUAUUGGUCAAUGGGCGUAAGCCUGAACCAGCCAAGUAGCGUGCAGGAUGACGGCCCUAUGGGUUGUAAACUGCUUUUAUGCGGGGAUAAAGUGGCCCACGUGUGGGCUUUUGCAGGUACCGCAUGAAUAAGGACCGGCUAAUUCCGUG
rnacentral:rRNA from 1 species